rnacentral:tRNA from 3 species
GCGCCUGUAGCUCAGUGGAUAGAGUGACGGCCUCCGGAGCCGUAGGCCGGGCGUUCGAAUCGCCCCAGGCGCGCCA